rnacentral:rRNA from 1 species
AUUGAACGCUGGCGGCAUGCCUUACACAUGCAAGUCGAACGGCAGCACGGGAGCAAUCCUGGUGGCGAGUGGCGAACGGGUGAGUAAUAUAUCGGAACGUGCCCAGUCGUGGGGAUAACGUAGCGAAAGCUACGCUAAUACCGCAUACGAUCUACGGAUGAAAGCGGGGGAUCGCAAGACCUCGCGCGAUUGGAGCGGCCGAUAUCAGAUUAGGUAGUUGGUGAGGUAAAGGCUCACCAAGCCGACGAUCUGUAGCUGGUCUGAGAGGACGACCAGCCACACUGGGACUGAGACACGGCCCAGACUCCUACGGGAGGCAGCAGUGGGGAAUUUUGGACAAUGGGGCGCCAAGCCUGAUCCAGCAAUGCCG